CCUACGGGUGACAGCAGUAGGGAAUAUUGCACAAUGGGGGAAACCCUGAUGCAGCAACGCCGCGUGGGGGAUGAGGUAUCUCGGUACGUAAAGCUCUUUCGGCAGAAAAGAAAAUGACGGUACCUAACUAAGAAGCACCGGCUAACUACGUGCCAGCAGCCGCGGUAAUACGUAGGGGGCAAGCGUUAUCCGGAUUUACUGGGUGUAAAGGGAGCGUAGACGGGGCUGCAAGUCCGGUGUGAAAGCCCAUGGCUUAACCAUGGUACUGCACUGGAAACUGUAAAGCUUGAGUGUGGGAGAGGUAGGCGGAAUUCUUAGUGUAGCGGUAAAAUGCGUAGAUAUUAGGAGGAACAC
rnacentral:rRNA from 1 species